AAGUCGUAACAAGGUUUCCGUAGGUGAACCUGCGGAAGGAUCAUUAUUAUUUGGGUCGGGUUUACUUCCUGCUCUGUUCGGACUGUUCUUUGUGUCUUGAUAAUUAGGAAGUAAACUUUUACCGAAUAAAUCCUAUAUCUCCUAUAGGAGCAAGAUGAACUUUUAUUUAAAACCCACUCUUAAAUAUUUAUUAUAUAUAUUUUGAAUGACAAAAUUAAAGAUCACUUUCAACAACGGAUCUCUUGGCUCUC
rnacentral:misc_RNA from 1 species